AGCGAACGCUGGCGGCAGGCUUAACACAUGCAAGUCGAGCGCCGUAGCAAUACGGAGCGGCAGACGGGUGAGUAACGCGUGGGAACGUGCCCUUUGGUUCGGAACAACCCAGGGAAACUUGGGCUAAUACCGGAUAAGCCCUUACGGGGAAAGAUUUAUCGCCGAAGGAUCGGCCCGCGUCUGAUUAGCUAGUUGGUGGGGUAAUGGCUCACCAAGGCGACGAUCAGUAGCUGGUCUGAGAGGAUGAUCAGCCACACUGGGACUGAGACACGGCCCAGACUCCUACGGGAGGCAGCAGUGGGGAAUAUUGGACAAUGGGCGCAAGCCUGAUCCAGCCAUGCCGCGUGAGUGAUGAAGGCCCUAGGGUUGUAAAGCUCUUUUGUGCGGGAAGAUAAUGACGGUACCGCAAGAAUAAGCCCCGGCUAACUUCGUGCCAGCAGCCGCGGUAACAC
rnacentral:rRNA from 1 species